UUUUUGGAGAGUUUGAUCUUGGCUCAGGACGAACGCUGGCGGCGUGCCUAAUACAUGCAAGUCGAGCGCGGGAAGCAAGUGAUCGCCCUUCGGGGCGUGAACUUGUGGAACGAGCGGCGGACGGGU
rnacentral:rRNA from 1 species